rnacentral:rRNA from 1 species
AUUGAACGCUGGCGGCAGGCCUAACACAUGCAAGUCGAAUGGUAACAGGAAACAGCUUGCUGUUUCGCUGACGAGUGGCGGACGGGUGAGUAAUGUCUGGGAAACUGCCUGAUGGAGGGGGAUAACUACUGGAAACGGUAGCUAAUACCGCAUAACGUCGCAAGACCAAAGAGGGGGACCUUCGGGCCUCUUGCCAUCAGAUGUGCCCAGAUGGGAUUAGCUAGUAGGUGGGUAACGGCUCACCUAGGCGACGAUCCCUAGCUGGUCUGAGAGGAUGACCAGCCACACUGGAACUGAGACACGGUCAGACUCCUACGGGAGGCAGCAGUGGGGAAUAUUGCACAAUGGGCGCAAGCCUGAUGCAGCCAUGCCGCGUGUAUGAAGAAGGCCUUCGG